rnacentral:tRNA from 1 species
GGAGUCAUGCCUGAAAUAAAGGGCCACUUUGAUAGAGUGAAUCAUGGGGGUUAAAUUCCCCCUGACUCCU